rnacentral:rRNA from 1 species
AUACGUAGGGAGCGAGCGUUGUCCGUAAUUACUGGGUGUAAAGGGAGCGUAGGCGGGAGUGCAAGUCAGAUGUGAAAUACAUGGGCUCAACCCAUGGGCUGCAUUUGAAACUGCAUUUCUUGAGUGAAGUAGAGGUAAGCGGAAUUCCUGGUGUAGCGGUGAAAUGCGUAGAUAUCAGGAGGAACACCGGUGGCGAAGGCGGCUUACUGGGCUUUUACUGACGCUGAGGCUCGAAAGCGUGGGGAGCAAACAGGAUUAGAUACCCUGGUAGUCCACGCUGUAAACGAUGAUUACUAGGUGUGGGGGGACUGACCCCUUCCGUGCCGCAGUUAACACAAUAAGUAAUCCACCUGGGGAGUACGGCCGCAAGGUUGAAACGCAAAUGAAUUGGCGGGG